rnacentral:rRNA from 1 species
UGAUCCUGGCUCAGGAUGAACGCUAGCGGCAGGCCUAACACAUGCAAGUCGAGGGGUAACAGGAAAGCUUGCUUUUGCUGACGACCGGCGCACGGGUGCGUAACGCGUAUGCAACCUACCUCAUACAGGAGGAUAGCCCUUGGAAACGAGGAUUAAUACUCCAUGGCAUCAUGAAUUCGCAUGUUUUUAUGAUUAAAGUAUUACGGUAUGAGAUGGGCAUGCGUCCCAUUAGCUAGUUGGUGAGGUAACGGCUCACCAAGGCGACGAUGGGUAGGGGCCUGAGAGGGUGGUCCCCCACACUGGUACUGAGACACGGACCAGACUCCUACGGGAGGCAGCAGUGAGGAAUAUUGGUCAAUGGAGGCAACUCUGAACCAGCCAUGCCGCGUGAAGGAUGACGGCCCUAUGGGUUGUAAACUUCUUUUAUAGAGGAAGAAACUUGUCUACGUGUAGACAACUGACGGUACUCUACGAAUAAGGAUCGGCUAACUCCGUGCCAGCAGCCGCGGUAAUACGGAGGAUCCAAGCGUUAUCCGGAUUCAUUGGGUUUAAAGGGUCCGUAGGCGGGUCUUUAAGUCAGUGGUGAAAGCCGACAGCUCAACUGUCGAACUGCCAUUGAUACUGGAGACCUUGAGUACAAAUGAAGUAGGCGGAAUGAGUCAUGUAGCGGUGAAAUGCAUAGAUAUGACUCAGAACACCGAUUGCGAAGGCAGCUUACUAACAUGUAACUGACGCUGAGGGACGAAAGCGUGGGGAGCGAACAGGAUUAGAUACCCUGGUAGU